rnacentral:rRNA from 1 species
AUUGAACGCUAGCGGGAUGCCUUACACACGCAAGUCGAACGGCAGCACGGACUUCGGUCUGGUGGCGAGUGGCGAACGGGUGAGUAAAGUAUCGGAACGUGCCCAGUAGCGGGGGAUAACUACGCGAAAGCGUAGCUAAUACCGCAUACGCCCUAAGGGGGAAAGCGGGGGAUCGCAAGACCUCGCACUAUUGGAGCGGCCGAUACCGGAUUAGCUAGUUGGUGGGGUAAAGGCCUACCAAGGCGACGAUCCGUAGCUGGUUUGAGAGGACGGCCAGCCACACUGGGACUGAGACACGGCCCAGACUCCUACGGGAGGCAGCAGUGGGGAAUUUUGGACAAUGGGGGCAACCCUGAUCCAGCCAUUUCGCGUGUGCGAUGAAGGCCUUCGGGUUGUAAAGCACUUUUGGCAGGGAAGAAAAGGAUUGGGCUAAUACCCUGAUUCGCUGUCGGUACCUGCAGAAUAAGCACCGGCUAACUACGUGCCAGCCGCCGCCGUAA